rnacentral:piRNA from 1 species
UGUAACUCCACUUCCAGGUGAUACAGUGCC